rnacentral:rRNA from 1 species
CGACGGGUGAGUACACGUGGGCAAUCUGCCCUGCACUCUGGGACAAGCCCUGGAAACGGGGUCUAAUACCGGAUAUGACCUGGGACCGCAUGGUCCCGGGUGUAAAGCUCCGGCGGUGCAGGAUGAGCCCGCGGCCUAUCAGCUUGUUGGUGGGGUAAUGGCCUACCAAGGCGACGACGGGUAGCCGGCCUGAGAGGGCGACCGGCCACACUGGGACUGAGACACGGCCCAGACUCCUACGGGAGGCAGCAGUGGGGAAUAUUGCACAAUGGGCGAAAGCCUGAUGCAGCGACGCCGCGUGAGGGAUGACGGCCUUCGGGUUGUAAACCUCUUUCAGCAGGGAAGAAGCGCAAGUGACGGUACCUGCAGAAGAAGCACCGGCUAACUACGUGCCAGCACCGGGGGAAAAUACG